rnacentral:lncRNA from 1 species
AAUCGAGCUUCGUUGUCGAAUCAUUUAUAUCUUUCAGAAAUCAGAAACAAAAGAAGAAAAAAAAAUCUGUUCUGUUCUUUCCAAUUUGUUAUCUAGUUUAUCAAAAGAAAUCCCAUCAUAAACUUCGGUGGUCUUUUCUUUUAGAACAAAAUAGUUACAAACGACUAUGAUUCAUCGUAAACACGUUGUCGACGGUGGGGGCAGCUCAGUUCAUUACAUGUGUACAGAAGCUAGAGAAUGAAAUCGAUACCUGUUGAGAUCAGAAAACGGGUAGCCAUUUGUGUGGCGUCAUCGAAUUUGAUUGAUGCACCGUAUUUGCUGCGUUGGGAUCAGCAUAUUCCACAUACAAAAGCAGGUAGUUUACAUACGUGUAAGUUCCGAAACCUCCUUAAUGAAGGCAUUCAAUAUAACCUCAUGCAAUUUUCCAAUCAUCGGUUCGGCCUGACGUUACCCUCGUUUCAUCUUUUACCUUCCUCAUUGUAUAUUGUGAUGGUGUUCAGCACAAUACCACAAGAGAGGGGCGUCAAUGAUGGAAUAAUAAAUGACGUUCAGUCGACACCCGAUCUUUCCUCAUGCAUAAAUUUCCCUGUUUUUUUUUUUCCAUUCAGCCAUUGGGCCUGAAAAUAACAGCUGAUCAAUUUCCAAUACGUUUCCAUAGGAAUAAGUCAUGUGAAUUGGGGUCCAAAAUUUUUUUUUAAACGUUGAUAUUUAAUCACAGCUACUGAUGUGUUUGGGUAUUGUUAAACUCUUGAACCGUACAGAAAGUGUGUUUUAGGAUGGGAUCUGUCUCCUAGAAUGAAAAUUGUAUCACAGUCACGUUCGCCAUUUUGUUUUUUGUUUUCCUCGAUUCUUUUUCCGUUUGUUUUGAAUAAAGAUGCCGCAUUUAAUCUGGUCACGUUUCGUUGAAAUUCAUUGAAGUUUACAUGCAGGAAAUGUAUACGCAUCUUUAUACAAUUUGAAAAAUUUCUCUUGUUGUCUCGUUCCAAGUUAUGCACCAUCACAUCUAUCGGCGACGUCGGGAUUUUCCUUCUCGAGCAAAAAGGUUCUUUUCUUCUUCUUAAGACAGAGAAUAUCAAAAAAUGACAUUCCAAUUUCUUGGACCAACGCAGAGAAAAUGCUCGGCUAUCCGAGCAGACGAUCGCAACUGAACGGGAAAAAAACACGCGGGGAAUGUCACAUUUAUAGAGAAGAAAGAGCGGGAAUUUUAUUUUUUAUUUUUUUCGGUGAUAUGGAAGUCACAAAAACACAUUUUUUCCCAUGGACAAUGAAGGUAAGAAUAAGGGCCAAAGGAAUUUUCGUCUUCCAUUUUUCUUUUUUUUUGUUUCUCAUGUCUCCAAAAUGCAAAAGUUUAAUUGUUUCUUUUUUCUUCUUCUUCUUCUUCUGCUAUGGAGAAGAAGAGAAAAAAAAAUUACUAAAAAUAAGAAAGAGAAAUAAAAAAAAAAAUCGUUUCAAUCGAAACGCAUUCCACGUACGACGGAAUGCGAAGGCCGAUGGAUACAAACGGAAACCAACAUUUCUACUUUGAUUCUUUUUGUCUUGUCCGUUUGAACUCCACCGACGCAAUUAAUAAUUUCUCUCUUGCCCUCCGCUUUUCGUUGACAUCGUGCGGCGGAAGAAUUUUUCAAUAUGUCUUAAAAAACUAUCUUAUGUUCGUAUCUAACUUCUCUUCCGCUUUUCCCAUACUCUCUUUCGUAAAAAAAUCAAAUCAAAUGCUCCAUUUUUCAAGACAUUUCUUUCAUAUUUUUUUUUUUCUGUUUCCGUUUUAUGCUGACAUCAUCGGACACAUUUUGCGUCGACAUAAUUUCCACUGCACACACACGCACACAUUCAAAUUUCAUAAAGUUAAAACUGUACAGUUCACAAUAUUUUUUUCUUCUUUUUUUGUUUUUCUUCUUUUUUUUUUCGGGUUUUUUUGCUUCAAAUUAGAGACCGGAGAGGGCAGCAGCACAUGAACAAAUCAAACACAAAACACACAUACAUACACAUAGACAGAAUUCAUUUAGUAUAGAGAGAGAGAGAAGAAGAAGAGGUAAGAGGAAAAUUCU